GUGUGUGUGUGUGUGUGUGUGUGUGUGCACAUGAGUGUGGCUUCUUACAGAGGCCAGAAGAGGUGUCAGACACCCUCGAGCUGUGGUUACAGGCAGUCAUGAGCCCCUAGUUUGGAUUCUGGGAACCAGAACCUAAGUCCCCUGCAAAGCAGAACCUAUGAUCUCUGAAGCACUGAGGCAUCUCUCUCUCUCCAGUCUACAACACUGAGGCGUCUCUCUCCAGUCCUACAACACUGAGGCAUCUCUCUCUCUCCAGUUCCUACAAAACUGAGGCAUCUCUCUCCAGUUCCUACAACACUGAGGCGUCUCUCUCCAUUCCUACAACACUGAGGCAUCUCUCUCUCUCCAGUUCCUACAACACUGAGGCAUCUCUCUCCAGUUCCUACAACACUGAGGCAUCUCUCUCCAGUCCCUACAACACUGAGGCAUCUCUCUCCAGUUCCUACAACACUGAGCCGUCUCUCUCUCUCCAGUCCCUACAACACUGAGGCAUCUCUCUC
rnacentral:lncRNA from 1 species